rnacentral:rRNA from 1 species
ACUGAAACAUCUAAGUACCCCGAGGAAAAGAAAUCAACCGAGAUUCCCCCAGUAGCGGCGAGCGAACGGGGAGCAGCCCAGAGUCUGAAUCAGCUUGUGUGUUAGUGGAACGGUCUGGAAAGUCCGACGGUACAGGGUGAUAGUCCCGUACACCAAAAUGCACAGGUUGUGAACUCGAAGAGUAGGGCGGGACACGUGGUAUCCUGUCUGAAUAUGGGGGGACCAUCCUCCAAGGCUAAAUACUCCUGACUGACCGAUAGUGAACCAGUACCGUGAGGGAAAGGCGAAAAGAACCCCGGCGAGGGGAGUGAAAAAGAACCUGAAACCGUGUACGUACAAGCAGUGGGAGCACCUUCGGGUGUGACUGCGUACCUUUUGUAUAAUGGGUCAGCGACUUAUAUUCUGUAGCAAGGUUAACCGUAUAGGGGAGCCGCAGGGAAACCGAGUCUUAACUGGGCGUUAAGUUGCAGGGUAUAGACCCGAAACCCGGUGAUCUAGCCAUGGGCAGGUUGAAGGUUGGGUAACACUAACUGGAGGACCGAACCGACUAAUGUUGAAAAAUUAGCGGAUGACUUGUGGCUGGGGGUGAAAGGCCAAUCAAACCGGGAGAUAGCUGGUUCUCCCCGAAAGCUAUUUAGGUAGCGCCUCGUGAAUUCAUCUUCGGGGGUAGAGCACUGUUUCGGCUAGGGGGUCAUCCCGACUUACCAACCCGAUGCAAACUACGAAUACCGAAGAAUGUUAUCACGGGAGACACACGGCGGGUGCUAACGUCCGUCGUGAAGAGGGAAACAACCCAGACCGCCAGCUAAGGUCCCAAAGUCAUGGUUAAGUGGGAAACGAUGUGGGAAGGCACAGACAGCCAGGAUGUUGGCUUAGAAGCAGCCAUCAUUUAAAGAAAGCGUAAUAGCUCACUGGUCGAGUCGGCCUGCGCGGAAGAUGUAACGGGGCUAAACCAUGCACCGAAGCUGCGGCAGCGACACUAUGUGUUGUUGGGUAGGGGAGCGUUCUGUAAGCCUGCGAAGGUGACCUGUGAGGGUUGCUGGAGGUAUCAGAAGUGCGAAUGCUGACAUAAGUAACGAUAAAGCGGGUGAAAAGCCCGCUCGCCGGAAGACCAAGGGUUCCUGUCCAACGUUAAUCGGGGCAGGGUGAGUCGACCCCUAAGGCGAGGCCGAAAGGCGUAGUCGAUGGGAAACAGGUUAAUAUUCCUGUACUUGGUGUUACUGCGAAGGGGGGACGGAGAAGGCUAUGUUAGCCGGGCGACGGUUGUCCCGGUUUAAGCAUGUAGGCUGGUUGUCCAGGCAAAUCCGGAUAAUCAAGGCUGAGGUGUGAUGACGAGGCACUACGGUGCUGAAGUAACAAAUGCCCUGCUUCCAGGAAAAGCCUCUAAGCAUCAGGUAACAUCAAAUCGUACCCCAAACCGACACAGGUGGUCAGGUAGAGAAUACCAAGGCGCUUGAGAGAACUCGGGUGAAGGAACUAGGCAAAAUGGUGCCGUAACUUCGGGAGAAGGCACGCUGGUGUGUAGGUGAAGUCCCUGCGGAUGGAGCUGAGACCAGUCGAAGAUACCAGCUGGCUGCAACUGUUUAUUAAAAACACAGCACUGUGCAAACACGAAAGUGGACGUAUACGGUGUGACGCCUGCCCGGUGCCGGAAGGUUAAUUGAUGGGGUUAUCCGUAAGGAGAAGCUCUUGAUCGAAGCCCCGGUAAACGGCGGCCGUAACUAUAACGGUCCUAAGGUAGCGAAAUUCCUUGUCGGGUAAGUUCCGACCUGCACGAAUGGCGUAAUGAUGGCCAGGCUGUCUCCACCCGAGACUCAGUGAAAUUGAACUCGCUGUGAAGAUGCAGUGUACCCGCGGCAAGACGGAAAGACCCCGUGAACCUUUACUAUAGCUUGACACUGAACAUUGAGCCUUGAUGUGUAGGAUAGGUGGGAGGCUUUGAAGCGUGGACGCCAGUCUGCGUGGAGCCAACCUUGAAAUACCACCCUUUAAUGUUUGAUGUUCUAACGUUGGCCCCUGACCGGGGUUGCGGACAGUGUCUGGUGGGUAGUUUGACUGGGGCGGUCUCCUCCCAAAGCGUAACGGAGGAGCACGAAGGUUAGCUAAUCCUGGUCGGACAUCAGGAGGUUAGUGCAAUGGCAUAAGCUAGCUUGACUGCGAGCGUGACGGCGCGAGCAGGUGCGAAAGCAGGUCAUAGUGAUCCGGUGGUUCUGAAUGGAAGGGCCAUCGCUCAACGGAUAAAAGGUACUCCGGGGAUAACAGGCUGAUACCGCCCAAGAGUUCAUAUCGACGGCGGUGUUUGGCACCUCGAUGUCGGCUCAUCACAUCCUGGGGCUGAAGUAGGUCCCAAGGGUAUGGCUGUUCGCCAUUUAAAGUGGUACGCGAGCUGGGUUUAGAACGUCGUGAGACAGUUCGGUCCCUAUCUGCCGUGGGCGCUGGAGAAUUGAGGGGGGCUGCUCCUAGUACGAGAGGACCGGAGUGGACGCAUCACUGGUGUUCGGGUUGUCAUGCCAAUGGCACUGCCCGGUAGCUAAAUGCGGAAGAGAUAAGUGCUGAAAGCAUCUAAGCACGAAACUUGCCCCGAGAUGAGUUCUCCCUGAGACU